rnacentral:rRNA from 1 species
CGAACGGGUGAGUAACACGUGGGCAAUCUGCCCUGCACUCUGGGACAAGCCCUGGAAACGGGGUCUAAUACCGGAUAUGACUGUCCACCGCAUGGUGGAUGGUGUAAAGCUCCGGCGGUGCAGGAUGAGCCCGCGGCCUAUCAGCUAGUUGGUGAGGUAGUGGCUCACCAAGGCGACGACGGGUAGCCGGCCUGAGAGGGCGACCGGCCACACUGGGACUGAGACACGGCCCAGACUCCUACGGGAGGCAGCAGUGGGGAAUAUUGCACAAUGGGCGAAAGCCUGAUGCAGCGACGCCGCGUGAGGGAUGACGGCCUUCGGGUUGUAAACCUCUUUCAGCAGGGAAGAAGCGAAAGUGACGGUACCUGCAGAAGAAGCGCCGGCUAACUACGUGCCAGCAGCCGCGGUAAUACGUAGGGCGCAAGCGUUGUCCGGAAUUAUUGGGCGUAAAGAGCUCGUAGGCGGCUUGUCACGUCGGUUGUGAAAGCCCGGGGCUUAACCCCGGGUCUGCAGUCGAUACGGGCAGGCUAGAGUUCGGUAGGGGAGAUCGGAAUUCCUGGUGUAGCGGUGAAAUGCGCAGAUAUCAGGAGGAACACCGGUGGCGAAGGCGGAUCUCUGGGCCGAUACUGACGCUGAGGAGCGAAAGCGUGGGGAGCGAACAGGAUUAGAUACCCUGGUAGUCCACGCCGUAAACGGUGGG